rnacentral:rRNA from 1 species
CAGAGACUGCGAGCGUUAUUCGGAUUCACUGGGCGUAAAGGGUGCGCAGGCGGCCGUGUGUGUGAGGCGUGAAAGCCCGGGGCUUAACCCCGGAUUGCACCUCAACUACACGGCUAGAGCAUUGGAGAGGUAGCGGAAUUCACGGUGUAGCAGUGAAAUGCGUAGAUAUCGUGAGGAACACCAGAGGCGAAGGCGGCUACCUGGACAAUUGCUGACGCUCAGGCACGAAAGCGUGGGGAGCAAAAGGGAUUAGAUACCCCUGUAGUCCACGCCCUAAACGGUGCACACUAGGUCUUGGCGGAUUCGACCCCACCAGGGCCCCAGCUAACGCGUUAAGUGUGCCGCCUGAGGACUACGGCCGCAAAGGCUA